rnacentral:tRNA from 1 species
UGCCCGGAUGGCGGAAUUGGUAGACGCGCUAGUUUCAGGGACUAGUACUGUCACAAGUGUGCAGGUUCGAGUCCUGUUCCGGGCAU